UGGGUAACCUGCCUCAAAGAGGGGAAUAGCCUCCCGAAAAGGGAGAUUAAUACCGCAUAAUAUGUUUAAGUCGCAUGACUUUAACAUCAAAGGAUUUUCUUUAGAAAUUCCACUUUGAGAUGGACCCGCGGCGCAUUAGCUAGUUGGUGAGGUAACGGCUCACCAAGGCAACGAUGCGUAGCCGACCUGAGAGGGUGAUCGGCCACAUUGGAACUGAGACACGGUCCAGCUCCUAGGGACGG
rnacentral:rRNA from 1 species